AUCUCAAAUCAGGUAGGAUUACCCGCUGAACUUAAGCAUAUCAUAAGCGGAGGAA
rnacentral:rRNA from 1 species